UCAACAUCCCAUCAGUCACAAAAUGGCUGCAAAAUAGAUAAAGCUGAGAAACAGCAGAUCCCCUGCCCUCAUCACUGGACGUUGUGGUACCGUGGACGCCUUAUUUCAUUCUUCUGUAUUUCUUAUUGUAUUAUUAUUAUUAUCGAUAUUAUUAUUGAUAUUUGUUUAAACCAUGGAAAGCACAUAAUUAACUUUUUAUUUUCCUAUGAUAUGAUUUUCUGUGGAAUCAAAAUACAAAAAAACAGUUCAGUCUCUGGUUUAACUGUAGUUUCUAGAUAGUUCUCUAGUCUCUUUCAUGCGUUUCCUCUCCCCUGUUUUAUCUACACAAGCAAUAGACAACACAAAUAUCUGCUCAUAAUACAAUCUAGUAUAUCUCAUUAUGUCACUGGAGAGGUGUGUGUGUGUGUGUGUGUGUGUGUGUGUGUGUGUGUGUGUAAAUCAGACGGUUUGCUAUAGGAGACAGUUGGAACAUAAGAAGAUCGUCACAGAGAUUUAAUAAAUACACCGAACGGACCAGCAGGACGUUGGGAGAGGACAGAUCCUCAUCGACCAAUCAAUACUCUGUAUCUGUCCUGGCUGUCAUCUUGCUUUGUGACAUCACUGUGUUUUUAAUGUGUAGCUAUGUCAGAGAGGAAACGAGUUAAAGGAUUAGCUUGAGAAAGAACAAAAAAAAAUUACCUGUGGUUCAUGUAGGUUUAGGAGACUGCUUUUAUUUGUUCUCUAGUUGACUAUCUACUCCGGUAGUUUCUCUGCUUUCAUUGGAGGAAUUUGUUGACGGUGAUUGGCUGACUGCCAGGGUGACGGUGAUUGGCUGACUGCCAGGGUGACGGUGAUUGGCUGACUGCCAGGGUGAAACAACCCCAAUAAUUAUUUUAUAACCUGAUUUGACAGUUUCAGAAUUGGUGGUGUAACGAACGAUUUACGUUAACAAGGACUUUUUGUACUUGCUCUGCAGCAGAACAUAAGAUUUGUCAGAAAAAGGAGGAGUGGAUUGUUUUAUUUUUGUUUACUUAAUUUUUUUUAUUAAAGGAAUUAAUUUGCUGGGGAAAAUAUAUUUAUUUUCACCUUUCCCCCCCUCUCAAUCUGUUGAUAGUCCAUAGUAGAAUUAAUUUGUUGGACUAUGGAAUUCAAAAGGUUAUUUUUAUUUUCCCAAGGCUUGUUUUCUUUUUUUUCUU
rnacentral:lncRNA from 1 species